UAGGGAAUCUUCGGCAAUGGGGGGAACCCUGACCGAGCAACGCCGCGUGAGUGAAGAAGGUUUUCGGAUCGUAAAGCUCUGUUGUUAAGGAAGAACGAGUGUGAGAAUGGAAAGUUCAUACUGUGACGGUACUUAACCAGAAAGCCACGGCUAACUACGUGCCAGCAGCCGCGGUAAUACGUAGGUGGCAAGCGUUAUCCGGAAUUAUUGGGCGUAAAGCGCGCGUAGGCGGUUUUUUAAGUCUGAUGUGAAAGCCCACGGCUCAACCGUGGAGGGUCAUUGGAAACUGGAAAACUUGAGUGCAGAAGAGGAAAGUGGAAUUCCAUGUGUAGCGGUGAAAUGCGCAGAGAUAUGGAGGAACACCAGUGGCGAAGGCGACUUUCUGGUCUGUAACUGACGCUGAUGUGCGAAAGCGUGGGGAUCAAACAGG
rnacentral:rRNA from 1 species